GUCUCGAGCAUGAUAAUGGGAGUUUAAGAGAUUCUCUCCAAGUAGAUCAGCGGUGGUGCUUCCGUCGAACUUGAGGCAAAUAGAUGCGGGUUAUUCAUCACCCGUCCGCCCUGAUGCAACACCAAAACCAUCCCCCGACACAGGUGCUUCUUAGACCCUGACAUAUCCAUCCUAUACAUUCCAUAUUGACUUGCGGCCGAAGACACAUGACUAUCUCAGUUUACCCUUACCUCCGGACUCUCAUAAGUCCAUGGCUGACUCAAGGAAGUAUCACCCACGUGCUGCGAGAAAGUUAGAGAAAAUGCUUCCUAUAUUGGAGACUAGGAAAGUUGUUACACUCGCAGCAAAAGAAAGAGAGAUAACGAAUGGCUCUAAGCCAGAUCCCAUAGAGAACAGACAUGACGAAGGUAAGCCUGAAUCUAAACAACCGCCAAGAUGACUGAGGGUGAUAAUUCGGUGGAAUAGUUCUAAUUUGCCCGUUGGUCCUUGGUCGACCCAAUUGAAUGCAUAUAUUGGGGUUCUCGUUUGUAGAGCGAACAUUAUCAACCUUUAUUUUUAUUUUGAGAACUACUAUGGACCGCAUACGAGGCGAUAUAGACUGAGCUUUUGGACUGCUUCUGCCUUGAGGACUUUGAGGGGGCUUGGAAUUAUGUGUUUAAUUUCAAGGUUGAAGCAGUCCUCAAACAAUGGAGGCAUGAGAUCAAACAUGAAACCUAGACAAAUAUGAGGAGGACUGGCAGAUGUUUUUAAACCUCGAUGACUGAGUUGACAAGAUUCAUUUCGCGGUUCUCCUCAUGUACUGGGACAGCAAUGCCGCAAAGGUUAGUUUUAAUAAAAAAUAAUUUAUAAUUUUAAGAUAUUAAUUUCAUUGCAUAUUUACAGUUAUUUUUUAAAGAAUAAAUCCACGAAUGGGUCAGAAAAUAGAAGAAAGAAGCUGCAUGACCACCACUUGGGCUCAAACUUCUAUGCUAAUCUGGAGGAUGUUUAUUGUCAUGAUAUGAUAUAUGUUAUUUAAAACUUUAAAUGAUCUUAAUGCUUAGUAUGAUUAUGAAAUCUCAUAAUUUAUAAUAUGAUAGGGAAAAUCAUUAAUGCCGAUACACAUGAGGGCAAAAGCGUCAUAUGGUAUUUUCUGUGAUAGAUAUAGGGGCGAUGAGAAGAAUCGGGUGUAAAACCCCAAAAAUUUAAAUAUUUUGUGAUGAAUAAUAAUAAAUUUGUUAUACAUUGAUAAAUAACAUAUUG